CAAACAGUGAAAGGUGAAGAAACUUUCAUGGAAAUCGGUUUGAAUAUAUUUAGUUAGAGGGGGGAUAAUGUCGCUAUUGAAAGCAAAAGGAGCAGAAAGGAUUAAGCCCUUGUCGACCACGGGCAGGGGUUUCCAGUACCUGGUUGACUGGGAGGGUUAUGGCCCGGAGGAGAGGUGCUGGGUUCCGGCUAAAGACAUCCUGGACCAGGCCCUCAUCGCCAACUGUCACCGCCGGCACCCUGGUCAACCAGUCCUCCUGGUUUGGACCUUUUGCCUGCCCUGACACUAAGC